GAGUGAGUGAGGACCCCGGGCCGGGCCGGGCCGGACACGGCUGAACAUCUUCGAUUGGAACAGCCUAGUAAAAAUCGCGUUUUAAACCCGCCCCCUCUAAACAGCGCCAAAAUCGCGCACACGGGCUGGGGCAGAUUCUCAGCGACGAUUCAGACUUCUUCCAGAUUAAGGCUUUGGCUACUGCCUCCUGCACACGAUCAGUUGGUUCGCCCUCCAGGUGCACCUCAUCCAGAUUUUCCAGGCUGCUUUGGUAAUUUUCAAUCAAAAUUUGUCAUGUUUGCUUUGCCCAGGUUUCAGCAUUAGAAGCCACUUUUUGUAAUGUUUCCUGGGUGGGAAUUGCCGGUUUUACAAAGUGUGUUAAUAUCACUGCCUCCCUCGUGAUACCCUAAGUGGGUUCUGCUCUUGCAGAACCCUCAGAUGGUGCAGAGUCUGGGGUAUUUUAUAACUAACUCUAACAGCGACUGCAAAGGAAUCUCGGUCUCAGUUGAUUCCUGUGCUGGUCGCGAUUCACAUUAUUACUGUUGCUCAAUUACUGUUAUUACAUUACAUUAUUACUGUUACCAAGGUGCUCACCAAGUCUUUGUUUUUUUCCAGCUUGCAGAGACCACUUGCCAAACUCUUCCCGACUAGACAACGAUUUUCCAGUUUCGCUAUUGCUGUAGCUUCAUCAGGGAAAGAGAUCUACUUCUAACCGGUAAGGGAUUUUAAAGGGUAGGUUGAUGUACCUCCCUUUCUGGGUUUGCCCCUCCCAUGUGCCGAGUCCUAGUGUUAAGGUUCAAUUUGCUUCAAACAGAUGACAACACAAAUGUUAGUAAUACAGUAACGUCUUUAUUUUGCCAGGCGGGUGUGGGAGUCGACUCUCACAGUAUGUAAAAUACAGACUACAUAGUCUCUCUUUCUCCACACACAGAGGUAAUGUUCAAUCAGACAUAUUUAUACCCUAAUAUUCAGCAAUUCAGCAAUUCUUUAUCUUGUAGAGCAUUGUACAGCCAUUGUACAUAUAUGGUUAAAAUCAGAGGAUUGACUGGUUCUUCCAAUAGAGGAAAGGUUCGCCCAUAUGUGGUUAUGCUGAAGGAGCUAUUUUUGCAGAUUCAUGCACUGUAUUUUGAGCUUGUUGUACACUACAAUCUGUAGCGUAAAAGGUAAGAACGUGUUGUCUGAACAUCCUUCUGAUCAUUUAUAUUAUAGAGCAAAAACAUUCAUGUUAUAGAAUAAAAACAUUCAUGCCACCACAUUCAAAUGCAGUUUCACACCAUUUCAAGCAGGGUGAAACCACCAUAAAACCGUACAAAACACCAAACUCAUGCUGUCAUCUCGCUAGUGUUGUAGAAGAAAGGCAAAAACAUUCAUGUUAUUGUGCUGUACUCUUGCUAGUGUUGAAGGGGAAAGGUUAAGCAUUCAUUUAUUGCUUCUAAAUCUACAGCAGAAUCCAUUUGUCACUUCCAAAUCUUUACACUCUUUCAUUCCUUCCCUUUUUAGCACAUACUAGACUAAGUGGGACCCGUUGGGUCCCAUGUUCACACGGUAGGGCUGGUCCCCCUACGCAAUAUUCCACCUCUCCACCAAUUCCAAUAUUGGUGGCCAGUGGGAGGGCUUUCUGUAGCGCUGGUAUGUGUUCUUGGGGUGGCAGCUCAGUCCCUCAAGCCUGAUCUGCUAGCAGCUCACUCACGGCUGGUGGGCUGGCAGUUGACUCGUGGCUAUUCCUUGAAAUUCCAUUUCAGACAGGGUGCAAGGCCACCAAAUUCAAAUCCAUUUUCCUACCAUUUCAAGCAGGGUGCAAGGCCACCAAAUUUAAGUGCAGUUUCUUACCACUUCGUACCGCGUGCAAGACCACCAAAUUCAAGUGUAGUUUCCAACCACUUCAAGCAGGGUGCAAGGCCACCGAAUUCAAGAGCAGUUUCAUACCACUUUCAGCAGGGUGCAAGGCCACCAAAUUCAGUGCAGUUUCACACCACUUCAAGCAGAGUGCAAGGCCGGCAAAUUCAAGU